ACAUCUUGUACGGUCUCCCUGUGAAGUCCUACUUUGUGAGCAUAACUGGGAUUUGGCGUCAACCCCAAACAGCUGGAGCCAUCUGUUUCCUAUUUUGUAAACUUUUACUCAACCAGAAAUCACUAGCUACCUAAAGAAACAGCCUAAGGGGGAGGAAUGGUGUGUACUCAAGUAACAGACCUCUGUUGACCAAGUUUGUGUCACCAUGGGACCAACAAAUCAACAGAAUGAAUUGACAUUAGUGUCUCAAUACACUGACUGGUUGUUUGGUGGAAUUAAAACUUGAGGCUUUUUUUUCCCUCAGUUUUUUCUUACUUUUGAAAUAUUGUAUAGACAUGGUUUUCCAUAGUCAAGUGAUGCCAGGGUUACUGCUCCCUUAGUUUUCCCACAGUUCCAAAUGUAUUCAAACUUAAUCGAUUAUUUGAUAACAUGGUAAGAAC
ensembl:lncRNA